rnacentral:rRNA from 1 species
GACGAACGCUGGCGGCGUGCUUAACACAUGCAAGUCGAACGGAAAGGCCCUGCUUUUGUGGGGUGCUCGAGUGGCGAACGGGUGAGUAACACGUGAGUAACCUGCCCUUGACUUUGGGAUAACUUCAGGAAACUGGGGCUAAUACCGGAUAGGAGCUCCUGCUGCAUGGUGGGGGUUGGAAAGUUUCGGCGGUUGGGGAUGGACUCGCGGCUUAUCAGCUUGUUGGUGGGGUAGUGGCUUACCAAGGCUUUGACGGGUAGCCGGCCUGAGAGGGUGGCCGGCCACCAUGGGACUGAGGGACGGCGCAGACUCGUACGGGAGGCAGCAGUGGGGAAUAUUGCACAAUGGGCGGAAGCCUGAGGCAGCAACGCCGCGUGCGGGAUGACGGCCUUCGGGUUGUAAACCGCUUUCGCCUGUGACGAAGCGUGAGUGACGGUAAUGGGUAAAGAAGCACCGGCUAACUACGUG